CAGAGACUGCAAGCGUUAUUCGGAUUCACUGGGCGUAAAGGGUGCGCAGGCGGCCAAGUGUGUUAGGCGUGAAAGCCCGGGGCUUAACCCCGGAAUGGCACCUAAAACUACAUGGCUAGAGCAUUGGAGAGGGUAGCGGAAUUCACGGUGUAGCAGUGAAAUGCGUAGAUAUCGUGAGGAACACCAGAGGCGAAGGCGGCUACCUGGACAAUUGCUGACGCUCAGGCACGAAAGCGUGGGGAGCAAAAGGGAUUAGAUACCCCUGUAGUCCACGCCCUAAACGGUGCACACUAGGUCUUGGCGGAUUCGACCCCACCAGGGCCCAAGCUAACGCGUUAAGUGUGCCGCCUGAGGACUACGGCCGCAAGGCUA
rnacentral:rRNA from 1 species